rnacentral:ncRNA from 1 species
AGCGACUAGUGAAGCCGUCCGUCGAUGUCCUGAUUUCCUUUCAGAUAGUGUAAUGAAAUGAAAGUAGCGUGAAUAGUGUUAAUGAAAGAAAUGGUCGGUUAACCGACCGACAUGGGAUCCGUUUUUAUAAGCGGCCCUUUCUCGUCUGUUCGCAGAUGGGCAGCGGUAGAGCGUACAGGUUGCGACAUGAAAGAUGGUGAACUAUGCCUGAGAGGACGAAUUCAGAGGAAACUCUGGUGGAAGUCCGGUUCUGACGUGCAAAUCGAUCGAGAGACAGGUGUAGGGGCGAAAGACUAACCAUCUAUUAGCUGGUUCCCUCCGAAGUUUCCCCCAGAAUAGCUGGAGUUCUUUGCGGUUAUAUUCGGUAAAGCGAAUGAUUAAAAGACUUGGGGUCGAAACGACCUCAACUUUUCUAUUUUCUACAUUUAUUCUACUUCCAUGCUAUUCUCAAACUUUUAAUGGGGGCCAUUUAUGGUAAGCAGAACUGAGCUGUGGGACGAACCAGACGUUGGUAUAAGGUACCUAAGUUCUCGCUCAUGAGACCCCAUAAAAGGCGUUGGUUGAUAUAAACAGCAGGAUGGUGGCCAUGAAAGUCGGUACCCGCUAGGGAUUGUGUAACAAUUCACCUGCCGAAUCAACUAGUCCUGAAAAUGGAUGGCGCUUGAGCGAGAGACCUAUACCCAACUGUUACCGCCUGGCCGCAAUGAGUAGGCAGUUGCGUUGAAGGCUUUGGGCGUAGACCCAGCCGGAGCUCCCGUCAGUGCAAAUCUUGGUAGUAGCAAAUAUUUAUGUUCCAUCCUUGGAGACUAAAGUGGAGAAGAACUCCACGUGAACAGUAGUUGAAUCUUGGUCAGUUGAUCCUAAGAUAUGCAUGGUAUCAUUGAGAGAGUAAAUUUUUCUUCCUCUCAAAUAUUAAAAGGGAAUAGGGUUAGUAUUUCCUAACACAGACACAGAGAUUGCGGCUCUUUGAGUCGCCUGCGCCGUAACGGAUUACUCGAACUUGGUUACGUCAUUCAGAGACCGAGCUGGAGUUCUCUUUUCUAGUUAAGGAACGGGUUCCCUGAAAUCGGAUCAGCCUUAAGUAGGGAUGUUGUUUCCGUAAACGAUCGCUGUUUCUGUCAUGCCUCUUUCUCUGGACGGCUUUUAGGAAACCAAGGAAGACUAUUAGUCUGUGCUGCAUAAUAUAAUCGUAAAUAGUAUCGUACCGGUCCCCAUCAGAUCUCCAAGGUGAACAGCCUCUAAUC